rnacentral:rRNA from 1 species
GAUGAACGCUGGCGGCGUGCUUAACACAUGCAAGUCGAACGAAGCACCUUGAUUUGAUUCUUCGGAUGAAGAUCUUGGUGACUGAGUGGCGGACGGGUGAGUAACGCGUGGGUAACCUGCCUCAUACAGGGGGAUAACAGUUAGAAAUGACUGCUAAUACCGCAUAAGACCACAGCACCGCAUGGUGCAGGGGUAAGAACUCCGGUGGUAUGAGAUGGACCCGCGUCUGAUUAGGUAGUUGGUGGGGUAACGGCCUACCAAGCCGACGAUCAGUAGCCGACCUGAGAGGGUGACCGGCCACAUUGGGACUGAGACACGGCCCAAACUCCUACGGGAGGCAGCAGUGGGGAAUACUGCACAAUGGGGGAAACCUUGAUGCAGCGACGCCGCGUGAGCGAUGAAGUAUUUCGGUAUGUAAAGCUCUAUCAGCAGGGAAGAAAAUGACGGUACCUGACUAAGAAGCACCGGCUAAAUACGUGCCAGCCGCCGCAGUAA